UUGCGAUGCUACUUACAGCAAUUAUCGUUGUGUGUCAUCAGAUUUCUUGGGAAGCGAAAACCCGUUGUUUAUAAUUGAUGAUACAUACACAGGAGUCAUUCAGUACAUACAAAACGAUUCUUGCCCAGGAUCUUCGCAAGUAUGUGAAGCAACUGGGGGUGGAAACAACAUAAAACGUUGCAACAGAACCUGUAUUUUAUCAUUUGACACAAAUGAAAAUACAGUAGGGGAUUCCAAAUAUAAAACUGAAGACAUCUGGAUGCGGAAAUAUAAUGACUCGUAUCAGAUAUACCUGCAUACGAAGUAUCAAGGGAAACCUCUUUGUUUUGUACCGGGAAAACUUUGUGACGGGAUCCAGACACAAACAGGUUGUCAGAAUUCAAAUUCAGAAAAGAUUCCUCCCCAAGUGACUCUCCCUGGCCAAGCUGCAGGUAAUCGUAAAAUUUCAUGUCAUUGGUAUUCAGAAGCUACC